AGGGUUUGAUCCUGGCUCAGAGUGAAGGCUAUAAGCCUGCUUGAAUACAUGCGAGUUGAAUGGUUAAAACCAUAGCGUACGGGUGAGUAAUAGGCUUAUAUCUGGCUUCAACUUCGGAAUAAUCCUAUCCCUCUGGGGAGAAGGUAACAGGAAAAUACCGAAUAACUAUAUAAAGGUCCGCCGGUUGAAGAUGAUUAGGUUCAGUAUUAGGUAGUUGGUGAAUAAAAGCUCACCAAGCCGAUGAUGCUUAGUUGGUCUGAUAGGACGAUCAAUCACACUGGGACUGAGACAAGGCCCAGGUUUCAUUUGAAGGCAGCAGUAAGGAAUAUUGGACAAUGAGCGAAAGCUUGAUCCAGCAAGGCUUGGUGAGGGAUUGAAGGCUUAGGUUGUAAACCUCUUUUUUAACUGAGGAUAAUGACAUUAGGUUAAGAAUAAGUCCCGACUAACUUCGUGCCAGCAGUCGCGGUAAUACGGAGGGGGCAAGCCUUAUUCGUCAUAACUGGGCGUAAAGGGCCCGUAGGUGGUUUUCUGAUAUGUUAUUUGUCAAAAAUUGUAGCUUAACUACAGAGAGGCAUUUAAAACAGGAAAGCUAGAGUCUGACAGAGGAAGAUGGAAUUUUUUAAUUAGGGUUAGAAUCCAGAUAAGUAAAAAAGAACAUCAUGUGCGAAAGCGAUUUUCUUGUUCAGUACUGACGCUGAGGGGCGAAGGCGUAUGUAGCGAACAGGAUUUGAGACCCUGGUAGUCUACGCUGUCAACGAUGAGUGCUAGCUUUUAGAAAUCUAGAAGACAUAGCUAACGCAUUAAGCACUCCGCCUGAGGAGUACGAGCGCAAGCUUAAAAAUCAACGGAAUUGGCGGGGGUUCAAACAAGUGGUGGAAGCAUGU
rnacentral:rRNA from 1 species